UGCUGUGCUCGCCUGUGUGCUUCAGGAAAAUCUCAUGUUACAAGAAAAGCCACUUACCAAUGUCCCAGGUUACCCUCUGCAUCUCCUCCAACAUGAAAGCCGAGGGAAAAGAAGACAGCCAUGACUGACUAGCCGGCAUUUUUUUCUGCACAGGGGAUAUGAAAUUAUAGCAAAAAUAACAGAUUUAAAAUGGAAGGCAACAGCUCAGAAGAAGGGCAUCUAUGCAAACAGCCAUGUUUUUGUCUACUGCUGAGUGGAGGGGGCAAGGUGUCUGCUGAGGGAGAGGCAGAUCUCCCUACUGAUGUCAAGAGAAUCAGCUGAAAACAGGCCAGUAACAAUUUUUGGACUUCAAGGCAAGCUCUGUGGCUGUGCAGGAAGAAGGAGAUUUAGCAUUAUAAUAAGAAACAAGUAAUUUACAAAGAAGAGAGUAAAUAUAUCAAGUAAAAAAUUAUUAAUGUAGUUGCUCUUCUUGUAUUUCAUAGCCAAAAAAUGAUCCUGCAGCAAGAUUUCCAUCUGAAUUUUUGGAUAUUUGCUUGAUUAAAUGCUGCAAGAUGUGCCUUUUGGCCCAAAACUUCAUUUUGGUCUAUUGGCAUUGUGGACCUUUGUCAUUC